AGAUGAUCAAGGGGCUGAUGGGGAGAGUGCUGGGGGACCAUACAAUUAAUUCAUUCUAUUUCUAUGUGGGGGACAGCUACAAUGCAGACAAUUAGGUGACAAUAGGAUAACAACAGCCUAACAAUUGAGAUUAUGCUGAAUGGUCACAAAAACUAAAAGGAAGCGAAAACAGCGCAAUCAAAAUCAGAGGAUUCAGAACAGGAGAUAGAAGAUAUUAUCAGCCCUGUACAAACAGAGUACUCCUCAGAUGUCCCACAAUUCCACAGAGGAUGUUGUGGGUUAAGAGGGAGACACCAACCCCUCCAAGACCUGUUGAGCUCCCUAAAGUCACAACAGGUCUACAAGAUGGCUGGCUCACUGUCUGAGAGAAUCAGGGGUCUACAAGAUGGCCGACUCACUGAGCGAG
ensembl:lncRNA